CAAAAGGUGCAUUGGAUUGUACCAUCUGCGCUCCGAAGGGGGGUGGAUCUUAACCAAAGUAAAUGUCUCGUAGGAAACUGAUGGGAACGACCCAAAUCAAAGUUCCCUGCUGACAAAAUGAAUGAAUCUGAGGCUUUAAGCUUUGACCUACCAUAUAACACUGCAACCCGAGUAGCCACGUCACUGAGACCCUAAAGGCCAACUGGGAAAAAAAUAAAACACCUGCAUAAUACUUAAUAGGGGAACAUGGUGAUCUCUUCUCAUGACGUAUACUGAAGUUCCCAUGUAUGCUGGGCACUACACUACAACUUGCUACAGUAUUUUUAAGCAUAAGCUUGUAACCUUUUCUGUCAUUAUCAUUUAAAGGUUAACAAUAUGAAUCAUAAAGUUUCCCAGUGAACUCGCAUAUACAAAAAUGAUCAAACACAUUGUACGUUUGCUUUGGUUAACAGCAUCUGAUAAAUAUUAAAGUUCUUAAAUAAAAUAGUUUCAUAAAUAAUGCUGUAAUUUAAGUUGCUUUUUCAAAACAAGACAAGAGUGUGUCUGCUGCUGUGU